AUUGAACGCUGGCGGUAGGCCUAACACAUGCAAGUCGAACGCGUGGACGACGGGUGAGGUAUACAUCGGAAUCUACUCUGUCGUGGGGGAUCUAGUAGGGAAAGUUACUCUAAUACCGCAUACUCUUGAAUGAGCCGAUGUCGGAUUAGCUAGUUGGCGGGGUAAAGGCCCACCAAGGCGACGAUCCGUAGCUGGUCUGAGAGGAUGAUCAGCCACACUGGAACUGAGACACGGUCCAGACUCCUACGGGAGGCAGCAGUGGGGAAUAUUGGACAAUGGGCGCAAGCCUGAUCCAGCCAUACCGCGUGUGUGAAGAAGGCCUUCGGGUUGUAAAGCACUUUUGUUGGGAAAGCGGUACCCAAAGAAGAAGCACCGGCUAACUCCGUGCCAGCCGCCGCGGUAAUAC
rnacentral:rRNA from 1 species